rnacentral:rRNA from 1 species
CGCUGGCGGCGUGCCUAAUACAUGCAAGUCGAGCGAACAGACGAGGAGCUUGCUCCUCUGACGUUAGCGGCGGACGGGUGAGUAACACGUGGAUAACCUACCUAUAAGACUGGGAUAACUUCGGGAAACCGGAGCUAAUACCGGAUAAUAUAUUGAACCGCAUGGUUCAAUAGUGAAAGACGGUUUUGCUGUCACUUAUAGAUGGAUCCGCGCCGCAUUAGCUAGUUGGUAAGGUAACGGCUUACCAAGGCAACGAUGCGUAGCCGACCUGAGAGGGUGAUCGGCCACACUGGAACUGAGACACGGUCCAGACUCCUACGGGAGGCAGCAGUAGGGAAUCUUCCGCAAUGGGCGAAAGCCUGACGGAGCAACGCCGCGUGAGUGAUGAAGGUCUUCGGAUCGUAAAACUCUGUUAUUAGGGAAGAACAAAUGUGUAAGUAACUAUGCACGUCUUGACGGUACCUAAUCAGAAAGCCACGGCUAACUACGUGCCAGCAGCCGCGGUAAUACGUAGGUGGCAAGCGUUAUCCGGAAUUAUUGGGCGUAAAGCGCGCGUAGGCGGUUUUUUAAGUCUGAUGUGAAAGCCCACGGCUCAACCGUGGAGGGUCAUUGGAAACUGGAAAACUUGAGUGCAGAAGAGGAAAGUGGAAUUCCAUGUGUAGCGGUGAAAUGCGCAGAGAUAUGGAGGAACACCAGUGGCGAAGGCGACUUUCUGGUCUGUAACUGACGCUGAUGUGCGAAAGCGUGGGGAUCAAACAGGAUUAGAUACCCUGGUAGUCCACGCCGUAAACGAUGAGUGCUAAGUGUUAGGGGGUUUCCGCCCCUUAGUGCUGCAGCUAACGCAUUAAGCACUCCGCCUGGGGAGUACGACCGCAAGGUUGA